rnacentral:rRNA from 1 species
GGAUAGCCACUAGAAAUGGUGGGUAAUACUGUAUAAUCCCUGCGGGGGAAAGAUUUAUCGCUAUUAGAUGAGCCUAUGUUAGAUUAGCUAGUUGGUAGGGUAAAGGCCUACCAAGGCAGUGAUCUAUAGCUGGUCUGAGAGGAUGAUCAGCCACACUGGAACUGAGAUACGGUCCAGACUCCUACGGGAGGCAGCAGUGGGGAAUAUUGGACAAUGGGCGCAAGCCUGAUCCAGCUAUGCCGCGUGAGUGAGGAAGGCCUUAGGGUUGUAAAACUCUUUCAGUAGGGAAGAUAAUG